CCUACGGUGGCAGCAGUGGGGAAUAUUGCACAAUGGGGGAAACCCUGAUGCAGCGACGCCGCGUGAGUGAAGAAGUAAUUCGUUAUGUAAAGCCCUAUCAGCAGGGAAGAAAAUGACGGUACCUGAGUAAGAAGCCCCGACUAACUACGUGCCAGCAGCCGCGGGAAUCCGUAGGGGGCAAGCGUUAUCCGGAUUUACUGGGGGUAAAGGGAGCGUAGAUGGCAGUGCAAGUCUGGAGUGAAAGGCGGGGGCUCAACCCCCGUACUGCUCUGGAAACUGUGCGGCUGGAGUGCAGGAGAGGUACGUGGAAUGCCUGGUGUAGCGGUGAAAUGCAUAGAUAUUAGGAAGAACACCGAUGGCGAAGGCGGCUUACUGGACUGUAACUGACGUUGAGGCUCGAAGGCGUGGGGAGCGAACAGGAUUAGAUACCCUAGUAGUC
rnacentral:rRNA from 1 species